rnacentral:rRNA from 1 species
UACGGAGGGAGCUAGCGUUGUUCGGAAUUACUGGGCGUAAAGCGCGCGUAGGCGGCUUUGUAAGUUAGAGGUGAAAGCCCGGAGCUCAACUCCGGAACUGCCUUUAAAACUGCAUCGCUUGAAUCCAGGAGAGGUGAGUGGAAUUCCGAGUGUAGAGGUGAAAUUCGUAGAUAUUCGGAAGAACACCAGUGGCGAAGGCGGCUCACUGGACUGGUACUGACGCUGAGGUGCGAAAGCGUGGGGAGCAAACAGG